GCAGUCGAGCGGAUGAAGGGAGCUUGCUCCCUGAUUCAGCGGCGGACGGGUGAGUAAUGCCUAGGAAUCUGCCUGGUAGUGGGGGACAACGUCUCGAAAGGGACGCUAAUACCGCAUACGUCCUACGGGAGAAAGUGGGGGAUCUUCGGACCUCACGCUAUCAGAUGAGCCUAGGUCGGAUUAGCUAGUUGGUGAGGUAAUGGCUCACCAAGGCGACGAUCCGUAACUGGUCUGAGAGGAUGAUCAGUCACACUGGAACUGAGACACGGUCCAGACUCCUACGGGAGGCAGCAGUGGGGAAUAUUGGACAAUGGGCGAAAGCCUGAUCCAGCCAUGCCGCGUGUGUGAAGAAGGUCUUCGGAUUGUAAAGCACUUUAAGUUGGGAGGAAGGGCAGUAAAUUAAUACUUUGCUGUUUUGACGUUACCGACAGAAUAAGCACCGGCUAACUCUGUGCCAGCAGCCGCGGUAAUACAGAGGGUGCAAGCGUUAAUCGGAAUUACUGGGCGUAAAGCGCGCGUAGGUGGUUU
rnacentral:rRNA from 1 species